rnacentral:rRNA from 1 species
UACAGAGGUCCCGAGCGUUGUUCGGAUUCACUGGGCGUAAAGGGCGCGUAGGUGGCUUGGCAAGUUUGGCGUGAAAUCUCCGGGCUUAACCCGGAAAUGGCGUUGAAUACUGUUUGAGCUGGAGGUUUGGAGGGGGGACUGGAAUUCUUGGUGUAGCAGUGAAAUGCGUAGAUAUCAAGAGGAACACCAGUGGCGAAGGCGAGUCCCUGGACAACACCUGACACUGAGGCGCGAAAGCUGGGGGAGCAAACAGG